rnacentral:lncRNA from 1 species
CAGGGACCCUGUUGAUCUGCAGAUCUCUGCAGGUAUCUAAAAAAAUAUCUCUUCUGGCUUCUUGCAGGGAGGUUUUGUGGGAUCUAGCCAUAAAAUUGUGGACACACCUGGAAAUUUGUGAGUGCUCCAGAGCCAGAAAUUUUGUGUAAGGAACUACGGAACAGAAAAUCCCUCUACAGUCCUGAGGAAGGAGCCCCCCAGGAAGGCUGCAGGCUUGACCCUGACCAGAUAAGAUGCUCUGUGCUGUUCUGUUCCUUAUCUCUAAAGGCUGCAGCCCCGUGACAUCAAAGAAAGCAGGAGGAAGCAGCAAUUGCUCACAAAGGCUGAUGACCAGACUGGCCACAAGUGGCCAAGCUCUCUCCAGCCCCUGAAGCAGCUGUGCUUGAGAGAGGAAGCUGCUGCAAGAUCUCCCCACGAGCAUGUUACCAGAUACCAUUUCCUUGUGAAUGACCUUUCUGCUGGAAUUGGACCAAAAUGUGCUCUGCUGAGAGGAGAGGACCAUUCCCCUGAGCUGUCCUCAUCCAGAGGAAAUACAUCCUCACAGCCAAUGACUGCUGUGGGCUGAGAAGGUCCCUUUGCAACCUGGCCAAAUAUUGCUGUGUGACAGUCAUCAGAAGGGCUAGCAGGCAUUUUCCUUCAGAUAGUUUUUUCCCUAGAUCUGCAGAAGGAGGUGACUUUGGAAUUCCAGUUUGUUCUCCUGAGACCUUCAG